GAGCAUGGAUUGUUAUACAAUUGCGUCAUUUGGGAAUGGGGGAUCGGCUUUUGUUCAGCCUAAAUUUGGGGUUUAUUCACCGUCAAUUGAGGUUUAUAUAGCGGGUUGUUUUUCCGGUGUACCUGUGAUUUUAACUAAGACGAUUAUCGACAAGGAGUCCUCUGAGGUGACAUACGUGAGCACCGACAGCGUUAGGGUUUCGGGUCCGGUGGAAUUUGAGGUAUACGAAAGUGAAAGGGAUUUAAUACUUUGUGGAUCGUUGGAGAGAGUGGAGACGGGUUGGGCUAAUGGUAAUGGGAUCGAGAAUAAUUCGAGGACUGGUUGGAGCAUGGAUUGUUAUACAGCUGCGUCAUUUGGGAAUGGGGGAUCGGCUUUUGUUCAGCCUAAGUUUGGUGUUUAUUCGCCAUCAAUUGAGGUUUAUAUAGCCGGUUGUUGUUCGGGUGUACCUGUGAUUUUAACUAAGACGAUUCAGGUUACACCGAGAAGGAAGGUACCUAGGCAGGGGAUGUUGGACGCAAUUCCUGAGGAUGAG
rnacentral:lncRNA from 1 species